AGGUCAAUGAUGAAACCAAAAGUUGUCCUGAAGAUAGAAGACGAUGUAAAGAUCAUGCUUAAUGGGAUUACACUGAAGUCC
rnacentral:snoRNA from 1 species